UACGUAGGGUGAAAGCGUUGUCCGGAAUUAUUGGGCGUAAAGAGCUCGUAGGCGGUUUGUCGCGUCGAAUGUGAAAACCCGGGGCUCAACCCCGGGCCUGCAUUCGAUACGGGCAGACUAGAGUUCGGUAGGGGAGUCUGGAAUUCCUGGUGUAGCGGUGAAAUGCGCAGAUAUCAGGAGGAACACCGGUGGCGAAGGCGGGACUCUGGGCCGAUACUGACGCUGAGGAGCGAAAGCGUGGGGAGCAAACAGG
rnacentral:rRNA from 1 species